rnacentral:rRNA from 1 species
UACGUAGGUGGCAAGCGUUAUCCGGAAUACUGGGCGUAAAGCGCACGCAGGUGGUUGGUUAAGUUUGACGUGAAAGCCUCCCGGCUUAACUGGGAGAGGUCGUUGAAGAUUGGCCGACUUGAGGCAAUGAGGAGGGGUGUAGAAUUCCCGGUGUAGUGGGUGGAAUGCGUAGAUAUCGGGGGGGAAUACCAGUGGCGAAAGCGGCACCCUAGCGUG